rnacentral:lncRNA from 1 species
UUUGGAGCACUUGAACCCGAACCACUAGGUGGAGCUUGCCUACCAUCUUUUCCCUUGUCUAGAUGGAAAAUAUCUCAAGCGGUGACUGAUGUUUGCGUAAUCAAGACACAACUUCCAAUGCAAGUGUCUACGAUCGUACAAUAGUAAAGUAACCCAACCAAGGGUUGGGAUCGUUCCCACAUGGAGUGGUUUUGAGAAUUAGUAGAAAAAUA